rnacentral:rRNA from 1 species
UACGUAGGGGGCUAGCGUUGCUCGGAAUGACUGGGCGUAAAGGGCGCGUAGGCGGCACACACAGUCAGGCGUGAAAUUCCUGGGCUUAACCUGGGGGCUGCGUUUGAGACGUGUGAGCUAGAGGAUGGAAGAGGCUCGUGGAAUUCCCAGUGUAGAGGUGAAAUUCGUAGAUAUUGGGAAGAACACCGGUGGCGAAGGCGGCGAGCUGGUCCAUUACUGACGCUGAGGCGCGAAAGCGUGGGGAGCAAACAGG